ACUAGUGAUUUCCGUAGGUGAACCUGCGGAAGGAUCAUUCGCACAAAGAAUAUCUUUUACACCCGCCACGCACCACACAGUGCUUUCUGUUUUUAAUCAGGAUUUAUAUCCAACUCGUCGAUGUUGCGAUUCCAUUGCAAUGUAUGCGAUGUUAUCUAUCUCUUGCGACGACGAAUGCCUUGGCUCGAGGAUCGUUGAAGGACGCAGCGAACUGUGCUAAACAUCUCGAAUUGCAGAUUUCCGAGAAAGAAAAGGAUUCUGAACGCACUUUGCGAAUUGACCUCGUGUCAGUUCACUUGAUUGGCGGUGACCGCAAUAUGCAGUCGCUCGAACUCCGAAGUUUGAGUGGUGUGCACGUGUUGUUGCAGAUUGUUGCACCGACAUGUUCGUAGAAUUCGACGCGCCUCUCGUUUUCGAGCAGCAUUAUGACUUCGUGUUAUGAUGUUCGAAAGCAGGGACCGUUUCUUGUUUGGGUUUCCAAACGAUUCUUUCGCACGCUCACGACCAGUCAAGGGAUUACCCGCUGAAUUUAAGCAUAUCAA
rnacentral:rRNA from 1 species